rnacentral:rRNA from 10 species
UUUUAAUUGAAGACUUGUAUGAAUGGUUGAACGAGAAAAUAACUGUCUCUUUAAAAAAUCUUGAACUUUACUUUUAAGUGAAAAGGCUUAAAUAAUUUUAAGGGACGAUAAGACCCUAUAAAUCUUUAUAUUAAUUUUCUUUAAAUUUCAAAUUAUACAUUAAAAGAAAUAAAAGAAAAAAAUAUUAUAUUGGGGAGAUAAAAAUAUAAUUUUUAACUGUUUUAAAAAUAAAACAAUAAUUUUUGAUUAAAAAAAAAUUGAUCCUUUUUAAAGAUUUAAAGAUUAAGUUACUUUAGGGAUAACAGCGUAAUUUUUUUUGAGAGUUCUUAUCGAAAUAAAAGUUUGCGACCUCGAUGUUGAAUUAAAAUAUCCUUAUAAGUGCAGAAGCUAUAA